rnacentral:rRNA from 1 species
GUCUACGGCCAUACCACCCUGAAUGUGCCCGAUCUCAUCUGAUCUUGGAAGCUAAGCAGGGAUGGACCUGGUUAGUACUUGGAUGGGAGACAGAAAUUAAGGAGUUUUCAAUA